UCAACUUUUACCGUCUCUCUUCCCCUUUUCUCUUUUUAUUUUCUCUCCUUUCUUUCCUCCCCCUUUAUCUCCUCUUCUCUUCUUUCCUCUCCUCUCUCCUCUCUUUUUUUCUUCUCUCCUCUUUCUUUUCUUUCCUCUCCUCUUUCAUCUCCUUUUACCUUCAUUUCUCUCCUCUCUCUUUCUUUCCUUUCCUCUCUUUUCUCCUUCCCUCCUUUUAUCUUCUCUCAUCUCCUCUCUUUCCUCUCUUUUUAUCUUCAUCUCUCUCCUCUCUUUUUCUUUCCUUUUCUAUCCUUUUUCCUUCUCUCCUUUUAUCUUCUCUUCUCUUUCCUCUCCUCUCCUUCUUUUCUUUCCUCUCCUCUUUCCUCUUCUCUUAUAUUCUCUUUUCUCUCCUCUCCCCUCUCCCCUCUCCUUUUCUCUCAUAUCCUAUCUUUCCUCUCCUUUUACUUUCAUUUCUCUCCUCUUUCUUUCUUUCCUUUCCUUUCCUCUCUCCUUUUCUCUUCUCUAAUCUCUUCUCGUUCCUUGCCUUUUACCUUCACUUCUCUCCUCUCUCUUCUCUUCCUCUUCUCUCUUUAGCUUCUCUUCUCUUUUCUCUCCUCUCUCCUCUCUUUUUCUCUUCUCUCAUUUCUUCUCUUUCCUCUCCUUUUACCUUCACUUCUCUCCUUUCUCUUCCUUUCCUCUCCUCUCCUCUCUCCUUUUCUAAUCUCUUCUCUUUCCUUACCUUUAACCUUCACUUCUCUCCUCUCUCUUCUUUUCCUCUCCUCUCUCCUUCUCUCUUUAGCUUCUCUUCUCUUUUCUCUCCUCUCUCCUCUCUUUUUCUCUUCUCUCAUUUCUUCUCUUUCCUCUCCUUUUACCUUCACUUCUCUCCUUUCUCUUCCUUUCCUCUCCUCUCCCUUUUCUCCCUUUGUCUUCUGUUUUCUUCCAUUAACUUGCACUUUUUCUCUUUCCUCCCCAUCUGGGUGCCAUUUCCUCCAGUCUGGCCAGGUCACUUUCUCAGCACCCUAGAAGCUGAGCUUUGCUGAGGCAGUAUA
rnacentral:lncRNA from 1 species